CAGGGGCGGCCGAUGGCAGAUUAGCUAGUUGGUGGGGUAAAGGCCUACCAAGGCGACGAUCUGUAGCUGGUCUGAGAGGACGACCAGCCACACUGGGACUGAGACACGGCCCAGACUCCUACGGGAGGCAGCAGUGGGGAAUUUUGGACAAUGGGGGAAACCCUGAUCCAGCAAUGCCGCGUGUGUGAAGAAGGCCUUCGGGUUGUAAAGCACUUUUGUCCGGAAAGAAAUCUUCUGCCCUAAUACCGAGGGGGGAUGACGGUACCGGAAGAAUAAGCACCGGCUAACUACGUGCCAGCAGCCGCGGUAAUACGUAGGGUGCAAGCGUUAAUCGGAAUUACUGGGCGUAAAGCGUGCGCAGGCGGUUCGUUAAGACAGAUGUGAAAUCCCCGGGCUUAACCUGGGAACUGCAUUUGUGACUGGC
rnacentral:rRNA from 1 species